CAUUAAAGAAAUUUAAUAAUUUUGAAAAUGGAUUUUUUUGUUUUGGCAAGAGCAUGAGAGCUUUUACUGGGCAAGAAGACAAGAGAUGGAGAGUCCAGCCGGGCCUGCGCUUAAGUGCGCGGUCUUGCUAGGCUUGUAAGUUUCUUUCUUGCUAUUCCAAACGGUGAGAGAUUUCUGUGCUUUUGUUAUAGGACAAUUAAAACCGUUUCAAUACAACACACUGUGGAGUUUUCAUAUCUUUGCAACUUUUUCUUUGGGCAUUCGAGCAAUCGGGGCCCAGAGGUAACAAACACAAACAAUUUUAUCUAUUCAUUAAAUUUUUGUCAAAAACAAGAAUUUUCGUAACUGGAAAUUUUAAAAUAUUAAAAACUUUCAACAACGGAUCUCUUGGUUCUCGCAUCGAUGAAGAACGCAGCGAAAUGCGAUACGUAAUGUGAAUUGCAGAAUUCCGUGAAUCAUCGAAUCUUUGAACGCACAUUGCGCCCCUUGGUAUUCCAGGGGGCAUGCCUGUUUGAGCGUCAUUUCCUUCUCAAACAUUCUGUUUGGUAGUGAGUGAUACUCUUUGGAGUUAACUUGAAAUUGCUGGCCUUUUCAUUGGAUGUUUUUUUUCCAAAGAGAGGUUUCUCUGCGUGCUUGAGGUAUAAUGCAAGUACGGUCGUUUUAGGUUUUACCAACUGCGGCUAAUCUUUUUUUAUACUGAGCGUAUUGGAACGUUAUCGAUAAGAAGAGAGCGUCUAGGCGAACAAUGUUCUUAAAGUUUGACCUCAAAUCAGGUAGGAGUACCCGCUGAACUUAAGCAUAUCAUAAAACGGAAAGAAAA
rnacentral:rRNA from 1 species